GACAGAGGUGCCAAGCGUUAGGCGGAAUCACUGGGCUUAAAGCGUGUGUAGGUGGAUGCCUAAGUACCUUGUGAAAUCCCACGGCUCAACCGUGGAAUUGCUGGGUAUACUGGGUGUCUUGAGCCACUUAGGGGUCGCUGGAACAAACGGUGGAGCGGUGAAAUGCGUAGAUAUCGUUUGGAACGCCAAUGGUGAAAACAGGCGACUGGGAGUGUGCUGACACUGAGACACGAAAGCCAGGGGAGCGAACGGG
rnacentral:rRNA from 1 species